AGAAUCAACGCUGGCGGCGUGCCUAACACAUGCAAGUCGAACGAGAAAGUGGAGCAAUCCAUGAGUAAAGUGGCGACCGGGUGAGUAACACGUGACUAACCUACCUUCGAGUGGGGGAUAACCUCGGGAAAACCGAGGCUAAUACCGCAUAACAUCGUGAGAUCAAAGCAGUAAUGCGCUGGAAGAGGGGUCGCGGCUGAUUAGCUAGUUGGCGGGUAAUGGCCCACAAGGCGAAGAUCGGUAGCC
rnacentral:rRNA from 1 species